rnacentral:rRNA from 1 species
AUUGAACGCUGGCGGCAUGCCUUACACAUGCAAGUCGAACGGCAGCACGGGAGCAAUCCUGGUGGCGAGUGGCGAACGGGUGAGUAAUAUAUCGGAACGUGCCCAGUCGUGGGGGAUAACGUAGCGAAAGCUACGCUAAUACCGCAUACGAUCUAUGGAUGAAAGGCGGGGGAUCGACAAGACCUCGCGCGAUUGGAGCGGCCGAUAUCAGAUUAGGUAGUUGGUGAGGUAAAGGCUCACCAAGCCGACGAUCUGUAGCUGGUCUGAGAGGACGACAGCCACACUGGGACUGAGAC